CCGGCGCACGGGUGAGUAACACGUAUCCAACCUGCCGUCUACUCUUGGCCAGCCUUCUGAAAGGAAAAUUAAAUCCAGGAUGGCAUCAUGAGUUCACAUGUCCGCAUGAUUAAAGGUAUUUUCCGGUAGACGAUGGGGAUGCGUUCCAUUAGAUAGUAGGCGGGGUAACGGCCCACCUAGUCAACGAUGGAUAGGGGUUCUGAGAGGAAGGUCCCCCACAUUGGAACUGAGACACGGUCCAA
rnacentral:rRNA from 1 species